CCUUGGAAGAGUGUAAUGACUGAAAUAUUAGUUCACUUUGUUAAAUCGGAUAAAGAACAUUAUCAUUUCCUGAAAUUCUUUAAAUUGAUGUGGAACAGGUUGAAAGAUAUUUUUAUGCUAUUUUUGUUCUUUUAAGUUAGUGAUAGAAGUUAUUUAGUACUUUUUCCACUAGUCAAAAAUCUUUGGCCCAGCGUGGUGGCUCACACCUGUAAUCCCAGCACUUUGGGAGGUUGAGGUGGGUGGAUCACCUAAAGUUAGGAGUUCAAGACCAGCCUGGCCAACGUAGUGAAACCCUAUCUGUACUAAAAAAUACAAAAAAAUAAGCUGGGUGUGGUGGUGGGCGCCUGUAAACCCAGCUACUAGGGAGGCUGAAGCAGGAGAAUUGCUUGAACCUGGGAGGUGGAGGUUGCUGAGGCAGGAGAAUUGCUUGAACGUGGGAGGCGGAGGUUGCUGAGGCAGGAGAAUCGCUUGAACCUGGGAGGUGGAGGUUGCAGUGAGCCGAGAUCACGCCAUUGCUCUCCAGCCUGGGCAAGAAGAGCAAAAAUCCGUCUCAAAAAAAAAAAAAAAUCUUUUCAGUUUUUUGAGAGAUUUGAAAAAGUAGUAUCAUAACACGUCAGUGAAUUCUGACUUUUAAGCAUGACAUAUUAGAAUCUUCCAUUUUCCACAGUCAUAUUUUCCUCAUUGAACUAGUGAUCUACUAUAUGCCUGAUAUUGUCUACGUCUCAAAACACUU